rnacentral:rRNA from 1 species
AUUGAACGCUGGCGGCAGGCCUAACACAUGCAAGUCGAGCGGAGCGGCGGACGGGUGAGUAAUGCCUAGGUAUCUGACUGGGAGUGGGGGAUAACGACCAGAAACGGGCGCUAAUACAGCUUACUAUCGGAUGAGCCUAGGUCGGAUUGGCUAGUUGGUGGGGUAAAGGCCCACCAAGGCGACGAUCCCGAACUGGUCUGAGAGGAUGAGCAGUCACACUGGAACUGAGACACGGUCCAGACUCCUACGGGAGGCAGCAGUGGGGAAUAUUGGACAAUGGGCGAAAGCCUGAUCCAGCCAUGCCGCGUGUGUGAAGAAGGUCUUCGGGUUGUAAAGCACUUUCAGCGGGGAGGCGUUACCAACAGAAGAAGCACCGGCUAACUCCGUGCCAGCAGCCGCGGUAAUAC